rnacentral:rRNA from 1 species
UACGUAGGGAGCAAGCGUUGUCCGGAAUCAUUGGGCGUAAAGCGCGCGUAGGCGGCCCGAUAAGUCCGCUGUAAAAGUCAACGGCUCAACUGUUGAAAGCCGGUGGAUACUGUCGGGCUAGAGUACGGAAGAGGCAAGUGGAAUUCUUGGUGUAGCGGUGAAAUGCGUAGAUAUCAGGAGGAACACCGGUGGUGUAGACGGCUUACUGGACCACGACUGACACUGAGGCACGAAAGCGUGGGUAGCAAACAGG